CUUUCACAGUAUUACCUACACAAGAUCCACUACUACCUCAGAUGAACAGAAUCCACAGUUAAUCUCAAUGCCGUUUUCUUCAGGGUGAACUUCCCUUUUAAUGACGACAUUAGACGAAUCUGGAUAGGCUCACAAUACGGUCUGCGAUGACAUUGGCAGUGCAGAGCAUCUGAACAUAUGGAAUACAUUGGUUGUUUUAACUCUACUUGUUUUGAGACGGUUGGAACUUCAAAUGUCACUGAUAUAGACGAAUGUACCGGGCAAUGCAAAGAUGGUAACCAUUCCUUCUCAGCCUUAUCACUCGGAUAUUUGUGUUCCUGUGGAAACUUUAC